AACUGUGUGUGAGGUAUUAAAUGAUUAAAACACUCUAUGAAUUGUAAUGGUGAAAUAUAUUUGCGUGCAUGUGGGUGUAUGUAAAUCAUUCGCCGCAAUUAAUUUACUUCGAAAAUAUCCAUCACAUAUGCAGUGACGUCUGAUGGCUCAACAAGUGCACAUCACAAAAUAGAGGUGUUCCAGAAUAUGAAAAACGGAAACUACCGAAGAAGGGCACGGGAUCUGGGUUUGGUAAGAUCUUAAAGUGGCGCAACAUGCUCGGUUGGAGACUAAUUUCACAGAUAUGCAGAUAAAAGAACAUUCGUUUGGCUUUGCUGAAGAAAGCGAGGGGCCGUUGGCAAUUAAGUAAGAAAAAAGAUUACAUAAAACUGAGCUUAUAUAAGACAUUCUGAGGACAAGAUUAGUUACUGCUUUCAAU